AACCGCGAACGGCUCAUUAUAACAGCUAUAAUUUACUUGAUCUUGACAACCUACUUGGAUAACUGUGGUAAUUCUAGAGCUAAUACAUGCACAAAAGCUCCGACCUAAAGGAAAGAGCGCAUUUAUUAGAACAAAACCAAACGGCUUCGGCCGUCCACUGUUGAACCAGAAUAACUAAGCUGACCGCAUGGUCUUGUACCGGCGGCAUGUCUUUCAAGUAUCUGCCUUAUCAACUUUCGAUGGUAGCGUAUCUGCCUACCAUGGUGAUGACGGGUAACGGAGGAUAAGGGUUCGACUCCGGAGAAGGGGCCUGAGAAAUGGCCACUACGUCUAAGGAUGGCAGCAGGCGCGCAAAUUACCCACUCUCAGAAUGAGGAGGUAGUGACGAGAAAUAACGAGACAGUUCUCUUAUGAGGCCUGUCAUCGGAAUGGGUACAAUCUAAACCCUUUAACGAGUAUCUAUGAGAGGGCAAGUCUGGUGCCAGCAGCCGCGGUAAUUCCAGCUCUCAAAAUGCAUAGAAUUAUUGCUGCGGUUAAAAAGCUCGUAGUUGGAUCUGUGCCGGCGUCCCGGUCCGCCCUCACGGGCGUGUACUGGAUUCGCUGGUUUUCCGCUCAACUCCUGCCAGCGUCCUUCACUGGACGUCUGGAAAGGGUGAGCAAGUUUACCUUGAACAAAUCAGAGUGCUCAAAACAGGCGUUUC
rnacentral:rRNA from 1 species